GACGAACGCUGGCGGCGUGCUUAGCACAUGCAAGUCGAACGGAAAGGCCCUGCUUUUGUGGGGUGCUCGAGUGGCGAACGGGUGAGUAACACGUGAGUAACCUGCCCUUGACUUUGGGAUAACUUCAGGAAACUGGGGCUAAUACCGGAUAGGAGCUCCUGCUGCAUGGUGGGGGUUGGAAAGUUUCGGCGGUUGGGGAUGGACUCGCGGCUUAUCAGCUUGUUGGUGGGGUAGUGGCUUACCAAGGCUUUGACGGGUAGCCGGCCUGAGAGGGUGACCGGCCAAAUUGGGACUGAGAUACCGCCCAGACUCCUACGGGAGGCAGCAGGGGGGAAUAUUGCACAAUGGGCGGAAGCCUGAUGCAGCAACGCCGGGGGCGGGAUGACGGCCUUCGGGUUGUAAACCGCUUUCGCCUGUGACGAAGCGUGGGUGACGGUAAUGGGUAAAGAAGCACCGGCUAACUACGU
rnacentral:rRNA from 1 species